GAGUUUUUUUGGAGUGGUUUUUACUAGAAACACCUAAGUUGAAUUAUUCUUUCUUUCUCCCUAGUAAAAAACUCAAAAGAACAUGAAAAAGUCUUCUUGUGAUCAUCAAAAUCAUCAGCAGGUAGCAGAACCUGUCAGUAGAAGUUUGUGUUCGAUUCAGUGCAAGUCAUCUGCCUUGUGAGCCUAUCUGAUACUUGGAUCAAAGCUGAAGUGCAGUCAGAAGGAAAGAAGGAAGUGUUCAGAAGAAUUGAAACAAGGCUGGAUUCUCAGAAACACAAAGACAAAUCCAUUUCCUCC
rnacentral:lncRNA from 1 species